ensembl:lncRNA
UGACGGCAGAGUCAGACAAGUUAAGCUUCUCAUCGGUGACUCUACUAGAGACAAUAAGGGGAAGCACACAACUAAGACGAUUUUAGAGAGACCCAUACAUAAGACUAUACUUUUACUUGAAGCAGAGUAAAGACUCAACAUAAUGUUUAUUGGUUAACCUUCGCUAAGUUCAUUGUUGGGUCAAAUUCCUUUAGGAUCACACAUGCUGUUGCGAUAGUGUGAUGGUGGGAGUGUAACAGUUGGUGAAAUGUUAGUAUUUGACCACUAGGCGGAGCUCUUGUAAUGAUAAUGUAACUAACUCAUUUUAUUUUGUAUGUUUUAUUUUUGUGUUGAGCAUGUUAACAUUUUCCUUUUUUGCCUACCGGAUUGGUGUACAGUUAAUUUGAUACAUGGAAAAUAGCCGGUUAAUUUUGUAAAUAUAAGGUAAGGGCAGAGGUCACUUCCUGUUUUGGAAAAAAGUCAGAGAAGCUGCGCAUGGUGACGGUCUAGCCGUGUAAAAGUCAAGCUAAGAAAGAAGAAAUAAGCCCUAAGUUCCAGUUACACCGGUUUGUCUACUUGCAGGCCAAAGUGUUCUACGGUGUACCUGUACGUUAAGAGAAGCACAGUAAACAUCAGUAAAGAAGAACUCUCGUGUCUCUCGUGUAUGUGUACAAGCCGGCAUAAUGGGCGUCACCUACUUAGUGAGGAGAAAAGUGGGACUGACCACCAGGGCCCUAAAUGUGAGAGACGCCCUUGCAAGACUGGAACCAAAAGUUUGUUUUUAUGACCGACCUGUCAAUACCUCAUAAAUGUGUUUUUUCUAGCUGCAAUACACUACAGGGAGCUACAGAUCUAUAUUGUCUGCCAAAACUGCUCACAAUACUAAUGAAGUAUGUAGUGUGAACGGCAAAGCAUGAGGACAGAACAAAAUGGAAACAGAUUUAAAAAUAUAUAAAAACAAAGUUAAAUGCAGUCUGUGCAAAUCUGUGCUUUUGUUCCAAAACAGCAAUAAUUCAGUGUACGAGCAUUUAAAAGGCUGAAGAAGCUUCUUGAACAAAAAGUAAAAGAUCUUCAAGAAACUUAAAGAAGUCUGGUCGCUUUUCUUUCCAAGCUUCUUAGAUUACCAUGAACCUACGCAGACAUAAACGCUGUUACUGUUUGUACAGUAAUGUUUAUGUUAGCUAUCCUGUUGGACCUUCCCAGGAUGAUGCUUGAUAAGUGAACAUCAUUACAGUUUUGUUAGUUAAUGAGUGAAAUGCAAU